GACAUGGGGCCAAGAGCUGAGGCAGACUGGCCAGAUUUCAGAAGGUCACUUUGGUUUAGGAAGUGAGGCUUUGUGGGAGGCAGGGAAGGGGCGCAUAGGCGUAGCAAGAGAUGUCAGCCCUGCCUGAUUUCACGGUGGUGAUUACUGAGUGAUUUCUGGAUUAGCCUUUCACACUUGAGGGUUCACUGAGCACUGGCCACUUCCUCCUCUUUUCCAUUCUUGUUUUCUUUGCUUUUGAAACUGUCCACCCUCCCUCCUCUUCCCCCACUCAGGAGAAGAUUUAUAUGAAGGCUUUUUUUUGGUUGGCAAAGAACAGCUUCUCACAAAGUGCAUGGCACAGUAAGCCACAUGGGUUUCGCCUGUGCCCUGGGGGAAGGAGGGUUUGCCACCUCCCGACUCUAGCAGCUCAACAGAGUCCAGCUGGGGCUUGACAAUUUCCUGCAGCAGCUGGGUGGAGAUCCACUGGAGAAGAGCCCAGAAGUGGGUGCAAACCCCCAUCGUGUCUACAGCUCCUAGUGUUUCUGUACUCCCACAUUAGCCCACAUUUGGCAUCUAACAAUUAGUUAAAAACUUCAGCUGAAUUAUUCUUACGAUCUUGUAUGACAUUUGUGUCUCUUAUACCUGGG
rnacentral:lncRNA from 10 species